rnacentral:rRNA from 1 species
AUAAGUUACUAAGGGUGCACGGUGGAUGCCUUGGCGCUGAGAGGCGAUGAAGGACGUGGGAAAGCUGCGAAAAGCUUCGGAGAGGUGCUGACCAACCUGUGAUCCGGAGAUGUCCGAAUGGGGAAACCCGGCCGUAAGGCCACUCGAAAGAGAGCGAACGUAGGGAAUUGAAAAAUCUUAGUACCUACAGGAAAAGAAAUCAAAGAGAUUCCCUUAGUAGUGCGAGCGAAAAGGGAAUAGCCCAAACCUGAUAAGCAUUGAAGGUGAAGUGUCUGGUCAAGCCCUCCGGCCUGACCAGACAAUAUUAUCAUCUUGAAUGCUUAUCAGGGGUUGUAGGGCGUACAUAAAGUGGAGUCGAGAACUUAGCAAAAGAGAGUUGGGAAGCUCUGGCAUAGAGGGUGAUACCCCCGUAUGCGAAAAGUUCAAAACCUGCGAGUACGUUCCUGAGUACCACGGAACACUUGAAAUUUUGUGGGAAUCUGGGGAGACCACUCUCCAAGGCUAAAUACUACUCAGCGACCGAUAGCGAACUAGUACCGUGAGGGAAAGGUGAAAAGAACCGCGAGAGCGGAGUGAAAUAGAUCCUGAAACCGUGCAUUUACAAGCAGUGGACGUACUAUGCCCUUCGGGGCACGUACUACCACGUACCUUUUGCAUCAUGAGUCAGCGAGUUACGUUUCAGUAGCAAGGUUAAGUCGUAAGAUGGAGCCGUAGCGAAAGCGAGUCUUAAAAGGGCGAUUUAGUUACUGGAAGUAGACCCGAAGCCCGUGCGAUCUAUCCAUGGCCAGGUUGAAGCUUGGGUAACACCAAGUGGAGGACCGAACUGAUAGAGGUUGAAAACUCUCCGGAUGAGCUGUGGAUAGGAGUGAAAGGCUAAUCAAGCCGGGCGAUAGCUGGUUCUCCUCGAAAUGUAUUUAGGUACAGCCUCGGGCAAUAUAUUUUGCGGGGGUAGAGCACUGGAUGGACUAGGGGCCCUACCAGGUUACCAAACCCAAAUAGUCUCCGAAUACCGCAAAAGUCAGAACCCGGGAGUGAGUCGAUGGGUGAUAAGGUCCAUCGGCAAGAGGGAAAGACCCCAGAUCCGCAGCUAAGGUCCCAAAGUAUACACUAAGUGGAAAAGGAUGUUGGAGGACAUUGCCAACUAGGAUGUUGGCUUAGAAGCAGCCAUCAUUUAAAGAAAGCGUAAUAGCUCACUAGUCAAGUCAGCCUGCGCCAAAAAUUCAACGGGGCUAAGUGUAUCACCGAAGCUCGGACUUCAUGCCGUAAGGCAGGAGGAGUAGAGGAGCGUUGUCUGUGCAAUGAAGUAUGACCGAGAGGACAUAUGGAGCUGCAGACAAGCGAGUAUGCUGACAUCAGUAACGUUAAUGCAUGUGAAAAACAUGCACGCCGGAAGCCCAAGGUUUCCCGGGCCAGGGUCAUCCUCCCGGGGUUAGUCGGAUCCUAAGGCGAGGCCGAAAGGCGUAGUCGAUGGACAUCAGGUUAAUAUUCCUGAACUUUCGUAUUUUGCGAUGGAGGGACGGAGUAGGGUAGGUCAGCCGGUCAAUGGAUAUACCGGUUUAAGGUCGUAGGUAGCUGUGGUUGGUAAAUCCGCCAUGGUAUUACCGAGAGCCGAGUACGAGCAAAGGGGAAACCCGGAGCGAAGUGGCUGAUCCCAGACUUCCAAGAAAAACUUCUAAGCUUCAGAAAUACGAAAUCCGUACCCCAAACCGACACAGGUGGGCAAGUAGAGAAUACUAAGGCGCUUGAGACAACCGUGAUUAAGGAACUUAACACAUUACCACCGUAACUUCGGGAAAAGGUGGGCCGAGUUUCUUAAACUUCCUUGCGAAGUGAGGGAGACUUGGUUGCAGAGAGCAGGGGGUAGCGACUGUUUACCAAAAACACAGGGCUAUGCUAACUCGCAAGAGGAUGUAUAUGGCCUGACGCCUGCCCGGUGCUGGAAGGUUAAAGCGAUCUGUUAGCUUUACGCGAAGCGGAGAACUGAAGCCCCAGUAAACGGCGGCCGUAACUAUAACGGUCCUAAGGUAAGGAAAGUUACUUCGAAAGAAGUUAUUGCUAGCCUUAGUAAAACUAAACUAUAUGCGGGAAAGUCCUCGUAUUAUCUCUUCAUCUGCUGACGCAGAUGACAGAUUUUUACUCUUUAUGUCUAAAUCAUAGACAAGAGGUGUGAUCGAAAAUGAGAUAAUAUUUAACAGACUUAAGUACUAACAGAAUUUAUAAUUUUGUAGUAAAAAUCUUAAGUACAUGGGGGUAAUCCGCAGGGAAGUCUUUGUUCUUGAAAGAGAUACUGAAAGACCCCUCAGAGACUAUACGUUUAGCGUCACUUAAAUGAACCUUGAAGCUCAAUGGAUUGUUGGAUUUGUGGAUGGAGAGGGAUGUUUCCAUGUUGGGAUAUCUUCUCAUCUGGAAAUGACUCGCAAAGUGCAAAUUUUGCCAGAGUUUACAGUAGUUCAACACAAAGACGAUGUUCAAGUUCUUAACGCUCUCAAGAAAUAUUUCGGAUGUGGUGUGGUUAGAGUUAACCAUGGCGACCGAUUAUCUUGGAGAGUGAGAAAGAUGGAACACUUAUCAGAAGUAAUCAUACCUUUUUUUGAAAAACACAAACUCAAAUCUCGUAAACGACAAGAUUUUGAGAAAUUCAGAGAUGUGGUAAGAAUUAUGAAAGAUAAAGUUCAUCUCACCGAUGAAGGUGAAAAAAGAGUAAAAAGGAUCGCCUCGAUGAUGAAUCGAGGGAGACGAAGAUAGAGUCCAGCUUUUUCGGAAACGGAAAAGGAUAACUGAGCGAAAUUCCUUGUCAGGUAAGUUCUGACCUGCACGAAUGGCGUAACGACUUCCCCAUUGUCUCAAUCACGGACUCAGUGAAGUUGAAAUCGGGGUGAAGAUGCCCCGUAACCGCGGCGAGACGGAAAGACCCCGUGCACCUUUACUACAACUUCGCGUUGAUGCCGGGAACUUGAUGUG